rnacentral:lncRNA from 1 species
AAAAAUAUAAUAAUACUUUAGUAAAUUUGCAAAUGAAAAUUAUUUGAUCUGUUAUUUGUUUGAAUAAUGGUUGGUUUCACUAACUAUAAGAAAAAAUACUCACCCUAGAAACUGAAACUGUGUCACUUGAUACAAACAUAGUCACCCUUCAUAUUUACACAUUUUUCAUAACAAUGAUGACACAAUUGCAUGGCCACUAUGAAUGCUUCUUUAGGAUUGUUUUGUCCACUGAAAAAUAGUUGAUGCAAGAGCAGAAUGUCUGGAAAAUGUAUGACUGCAAAGAAUGCCCUUCAACAUUGGAAAAAGCCAAAAAAUCUCUAGAGGAAAGAUUAGGUGAGUAGGGAGCAUGAAGACGAGUUCAAAAUUGUUAUUGUGCAGCUUUGUGAUUGUUCAUCAGCAUUUGCUGAACCCAUCUAGAGGAAGCUUUUCACAUUUUCAGGCCUUCUUGUAGAAUGGUAUACACAUAUCCUACAAUCCCAACUUGGGAGGCUCUCUUUUCCAGUCAGUCAGUCAGUCAAUGGUCCUCCAUAAUCAUUUGCUCCAUUUGAGCAAUCAUGUUAUUAGACCAGCUGGUGCAUGGCUGAGGCACUUUUGGUUUGUUCUCACACAACAUUGGCCUUCUUUGAACUGUCAUAUCCACAAAUGCACAUUUUUCACAUCAAUGAUGUCAUCACUGCAUGUCUCACUCAACUGAUAAUGAAUUUCAAUGGGUGCCAUUCCUUGAGAGUAAAGAAAACAAAUAAUACUUUGUUCUUUGAAUGUAAAUGUUGCCAUUUCAGUAUCUGAAAUACUUCCAUUGCCAACUAUGCUACAAUUUUUCUAUAAGUCAUAUAAGGCUGCUAUUUGUCUCACCCAAUCUUAACGAAUCCAGCAUCUUUUAAAACCACUGUUGUGCUUCUACCUGCUUCCAUUCCAAAGAAAAUAGGAGACCUUAAAAUUUGAAUUCACCUCAUACAUUUAACAAAAUUGAUAUUUAAAGUACUUCUUUCAAUCAAUUUUUGUUCCAACAGCUUCAAUUAAAC